ACGGGUGAGUAAUGCUUAUCUAACUUACCGAUUAGUGGGGGGUAGCUAUAAGAAAUUAUAGGUAAUACCGCAUAUUCUGGUUUAUACCAGCAAAGGACUAGGUUUUGAAAAAAGUUUAGUUCGCUAAUUGAUAGGGAUAAGUCGUAUUAGUUUGUUGGUGGGGUAAUGGCCUACCAAGACGAUGAUGCGUAGCCAGGCUGAGAGGCUGAUUGGCCACAAGGGAACUGAGACACGGUCCCUACUCCUACGGGAGGCAGCAGUGAGGAAUAUUCCACAAUGGGCGAAAGCCUGAUGGAGCAAUACUACGUGAAGGAUGAAGGUCUACGGAUUGUAAACUUCUUUACUUGGAUGUACUCCUAAAAGCUUGCAUCCGAGCAAAAAGUCACGACUAACUAUGUGCCAGCAGUCGCGGUAAGACAUAGGUGGCGAACGUUAUCCGGAAUUAUUGGGCGUAAAGGAUGCGUAGAUGGUAGAAUAAGUUACUGAUUGAUGCCAAACUCAAUUUGACGGAAGUUGGUAAUACUGUUCUGCUAGAGGGCAGAAGAGGUUGAUGGAAUUCUGUGAGGAGCGGUGAAAUGCGUUGAUCUGCAGAGGAACACCAAAAAAGGCGAAGGCAUUCAACUAUUCUGUUCCUGACAUUGAGGCAUGAAAGCGUGGGGAGCAAACCGGAUUAGAUACCCGGGUAGUCCACGCCCUAAACGAUGAGCAUUAGAUAUUAGACGUUAAGUUUAGUGUCGCCGCUAACGCUGUAAAUGCUCCGCCUGGGUACUACGGCCGCAAGGCUAAAACUCAAAGGAAUUGACGGGGACCCGCACAAGCGGUGGAGCAUGUGGUUCAAUUCGAUACGACGCGCAGAACCUUACCAAGGCUUGACAUGGAGGGCAAAGUUGAAGAAAUUCAACAGAGGUUAUCCCGACACAGGUGGUGCAUGGUCGUCGUCAGUUCGUGCUGUGAAGCGUAUGCUUAAGUGCUAUAACGAACGCAACCCUCAUAUUUAGUUGCUACCAUUCAGUUGAGAACUCUAAAUAGACUGCUAAGAAAACUUAGAGGAAGGUGAGGAUGACGUCUGGUCGUC
rnacentral:rRNA from 1 species